GCUUGUACUUACCAAUACUAAACAURUGAAGUUAGAUGCAAUAGUUUCAGCUGUGUUUUAUGAUGCAAGGAUAAGCUUUUAAUACCUCUGAAGAUAUAACAGAUAGGUAAGAGGAAAAUAGUAUCAUUUUUGAACCUGAAAAUUCUGGGAAGAUGUGAAGAAAGCAGUAGAUGACAGUGCAGUAGUUAGAGACAUGUCUACAGAUGUUUUUUUUCAUCCACUACUGGUAUAAUUUCYGAAUUUGAGAUAUUUCACUGACUGUAUCUCAAAAGAAAAUUUAAGUGCUCUCUGUCAAGGCAGAAGCAACACCUGGGGAGAUUAUAAAAAAGGAUGUUUAAGUAUGGCURGAUAACAUCAGGAUCAAAGCAGCAGAUAAAUGGACAAAAGGAUGAGCCAGAAAACUGAGAACAAAAAGGGUUAAGAUUUAAUUCUUAAUGAUUUUUUCCACAGGAAACACUCCCUGGAAUAGACCRUGGGUAAUCCAUAUGAAUAGAGAUGGAAUGGUUAAACAGAUGUUACAUUCAGAAUAUUGCYUCAUUCGGAUACACAGAACAAAAGGCCACGUUCAGAGUCCUGGAGGGAGUUUUUGGGAGCACUGGGACACAAUUCUCCAAACCAGGUCUAAGGAGCAUUUGUCAAGYAGGCAGCUCAACUCUCCCUCUUGCUGAUGGCAAGGAUUUUCUGCAGGUUCUGCUUUCCGGAUGUGCACGGUGACUGAUACUGAACCUUCACCCCAUCGCUACCUUGACUGACAGCAGUGGAGAAAAAGAUCUGUACAACUAAAUAAAAUACGUGAAAAGAAAUGCACCCAAGUCUGGGUGCUUGAGAAGGGGAAGAAACAGCAGAACAUUCCAGAUUUAUGAGAGGCUGUUAAGGGUUUUGCACAGGAUGCUAAAAGAGGAAGAGACUGAGAGCUGUGUUAAUGAAAAUACUGAAUCAAGUCUCCAGUGCUAAUGGAUACAAACUUAUUCUCACACAUACAGCCCUUCUUCAUGCUUAUUUAUUUGGAUAUACUUUCAUGACAGACAACUAAUACCUGUGAGCAAGAUAASGAUAGCUUUAAUUUGUCAAACUCUUCUUGGUUAGAGAAUUCUUACUCAUAGCCUCAAUUUCUCAUUGUUUUGAAAAAGACUUAKUUACAACUCAAAACCAACCCUAUGCUUUCGAGGCUUUUCAUUCAGUCCCUAUUUGAGUGCUGGAGAUGAAAUCUGCUAGACAAAAGGAGAGGUUUUGUUYUCUGGAUGGAGACUAACAAACCCCAUAUUUAUCUGAGCACUCAUGUUUGCCAGAGAGAUUAAAGUAAAUGUAUGGAAAAUAAUUAAGUAUUUUCUUUAGCACAGUAAUAAUAACAGAAUUCAGAUCCCCUCCUUUUCUCUGUGUAAGAYAAAAAGUAUUUCCAUAUACUUUAUUUAACGUGCUUUAUGUUAAAAUACUGGUAAAUUCUGUACCUAUUUUUUAUGCCUGUUUUCAAAAUCUGAARCUGCUACAAGCCAAAGGCUGAAUUGAGAAUUCUGAACAGUGUGUAUAAUUUCCUUCCUCACACAAAUGUUUCAUUACAGCAUAUGAGAWUUUAUAAAGAAAAUUAUCUGUUUGUGUAUUAAUUUGAUUUUGAUUUCUAGUAGACCGCUACAGACUGAUGGAGCCUGGGUGAAAUAUCAUAAUUACACAAAUAAUACAUAUUAUUUCACAAUGACUCUAUUCUAAACUUGCACAGUUGAGCUGAUGGAAAAAAAUAAAUACAACCACAUCAGAUAAUUUGAAGAUAAAUGUAUUCACAGACUGUUUUUUUAUUUCUAGUGAAGUCUUCACAUAAAUAGAGAUUUACGAUAAUUGUUGGCGUGCUUGACCARUGUUAAAAUUAACAGAUGUUUAUUAUACCAAAAAAGAGCAUUUCAAGCAAAUAAUUCCACUCAAAAUAUUAAGCACAUUUUCCAGUUUAUGCUGUUGGAGGUUAUGGUGGCAUGUUUGAUUAAUGGGCUGUUUUAUUGGUGAUGCAAAAAAUGUGUGAUAUCAUAUGACCCAUAYGCUGUAGAUAGAAAGGUAUUAAACUAACCUUGGCACUUAGUAAAAAAUCUGAAAUAUCCCUCUAGUAAAAUAUAUCAUUUUAGAGGAAAAAGACAUGUUGGCAUUGCUUGUAUUUAUGCUUUUGAUAAAUUACAUGUCAUAUUUACUUAGUUUCAGUAUAAACAUUUAUUCUCUUUGAGACUUGUGCUUCUCUCUAGUUGUCAGGUUCCUCUGACAAGUGGUGUGAGUGAAACACAACCGUAUGUCACCGGUCACUUAUGAACACAGGAUGGGGAGGAAGAUGAUGACAUCUAACUUUUCAUGAAAUWAUCUCAAUAUUUAUUGCUGUUUAUUCAGAUUGGUAUAAGCUAUAAUGAGAAGGAAGGCAUGUGCAUG